GUGGAUUAGUGGCGAACGGGUGAGUAACACGUGAGUAACCUGCCCCCUACUCUGGGAUAAGCCUGGGAAACUGGGUCUAAUACUGGAUAUGACCAAUCACUGCAUGGUGUGUUGGUGGAAAGAUUUUUUGGUGGGGGAUGGACUCGCGGCCUAUCAGCUUGUUGGUGGGGUAAUGGCCUACCAAGGCGACGACGGGUAGCCGGCCUGAGAGGGCGACCGGCCACACUGGGACUGAGACACGGCCCAGACUCCUACGGGAGGCAGCAGUGGGGAAUAUUGCACAAUGGGCGAAAGCCUGAUGCAGCGACGCCGCGUGAGGGAUGACGGCCUUCGGGUUGUAAACCUCUUUCACCAGGGACGAAGCUAACGUGACGGUACCUGGAGAAGAAGCACCGGCUAACUACGUGCCAGCAGCCGCGGUAAUACGUAGGGUGCGAGCGUUGUCCGGAAUUAUUGGGCGUAAAGAGCUUGUAGGCGGUUUGUCGCGUCUGCUGUGAAAGACCGGGGCUUAACUCCGGUUCUGCAGUGGGUACGGGCAGACUAGAGUAUGGUAGGGGAGACUGGAAUUCCUGGUGUAGCGGUGAAAUGCGCAGAUAUCAGGAGGAACACCGAUGGCGAAGGCAGGUCUCUGGGCCAUUACUGACGCUGAGAAGCGAAAGCAUGGGGAGCGAACAGGAUUAGAUACCCUGGUAGUCCAUGC
rnacentral:rRNA from 2 species